rnacentral:tRNA from 1 species
GGGUGGUUAACUCAGUGGCAGAGUGCCUCGUUUACACCGAGGAAGUCGAAGGUUCAAAUCCUUCAUUACCUA